CCUACGGGUGGCAGCAGUCGAGAAUCAUUCACAAUGGGGGAAACCCUGAUGGUGCGACGCCGCGUGGGGGAAUGAAGGUCUUCGGAUUGUAAACCCCUGUCAUGUGGGAGCAAAUUAAAAAGAUAGUACCACAAGAGGAAGAGACGGCUAACUCUGUGCCAGCAGCCGCGGUAAUACAGAGGUCUCAAGCGUUGUUCGGAAUCACUGGGCGUAAAGCGUGCGUAGGCUGUGUCGUAAGUCGUGUGUGAAAUGCGCGGGCUCAACCCGCGGACGGCACAUGAUACUGCGAGACUAGAGUAGUGGAGGGGGAACCGGAAUUCUCGGUGUAGCAGUGAAAUGCGUAGAUAUCGAGAGGAACACUCGUGGCGAAGGCGGGUUCCUGGACAUUAACUGACGCUGAGGCACGAAGGCCAGGGGAGCGAAAGGGAUUAGAUACUCUUGUAGUC
rnacentral:rRNA from 1 species